rnacentral:rRNA from 1 species
AGUUUGAUCAUGGCUCAGAUUGAACGCUGGCGGCAUGCCUUACACAUGCAAGUCGAACGGCAGCGGGCCUUCGGGUGCCGGCGAGUGGCGAACGGGUGAGUAAUGCAUCGGAACGUGCCAUUGAGUGGGGGAUAACGUAGCGAAAGUUGCGCUAAUACCGCAUAUUCUGUGAGCAGGAAAGCAGGGGACCGCAAGGCCUUGCGCUCUUUGAGCGGCCGAUGUCAGAUUAGCUAGUUGGUGAGGUAAAGGCUUACCAAGGCGACGAUCUGUAGCGGGUCUGAGAGGAUGAUCCGCCACACUGGAACUGAGACACGGUCCAGACUCCUACGGGAGGCAGCAGUGGGGAAUUUUGGACAAUGGGCGCAAGCCUGAUCCAGCAAUACCGCGUGUGUGAAGAAGGCCUUAGGGUUGUAAAGCACUUUCAAUUGGGAGGAAAACCUGCCGGUCAAUACCCGGUAGCUUGACAUUACCUUUAGAAGAAGCACCGGCUAACUCCGUG